GUGCACGCUUUGGCAUCACAUAUACUAAAAUUGGAACAAUAAGAGAAGAUUAGCAUGGCCCCUGCACAAGGAUGACACGCAAGUUCAUGAAGUGUUCCAUAUUUUU
ensembl:snRNA U6 U6 spliceosomal RNA